GUGCCUAUAGCUCAGUUGGAUAGAGCGUGAGAUUCCUAAUCUCAAGGUCGUGGGUUCGAUUCCCGCUAGGCACACCA
rnacentral:tRNA from 1 species